AAAUGGUGACUUGUCAUCAAAGGGCGUGUCUGUGGCGGCCAAACCAAUUUCGAUGUUUCGCCAUGAAAAUUUAACGAUUCAUAUCUCAGCUGAACAACAUCCUAUCUGCCUCAGACUUCACAUGCUGGAUACCAGGUCCAGUCUGAACACAUCCACACUCAUAAAUUUUGAAAAAGUCAUAGCGCCACCUGUUGGUAAUAGUAAGUUUAAGGCCUUAUAUUUUCAGGUACAAUGGCCCCAAACUUGGUGAUAUCAUGCUGGAAAUUGGUCAGUUGAGUCUUCACCUCUUGACAAUCACACACUGUGAAGGGUGUGACAUUUCAUGCAACGCUGUUGCCGUAGCAACCAAAUAUCGCCAUGAAAAACAAAGCCCUUUCUGACAGGUUAGGAAUACUCCAAUGCUCACAAAAAUUACCACACACAUCACCAUUGACCCAAGGAACAACACUGUAUGCAUCUCGGCACUGCACAUGCUAUAGCGCCCCCUACAGUAUUUUUAACAAAC